rnacentral:rRNA from 1 species
UACGUAGGGGGCAAGCGUUGUCCGGAUUUAUUGGGCGUAAAGAGCGUAUAGGCGGUUCGGUAGGUCCGUUGUGAAAACUCGAGGCUCAACCUCGAGACGCCGAUGGAAACCAUCGAACUAGAGUCCGGAAGAGGAGAGUGGAAUUCCUGGUGUAGCGGUGAAAUGCGCAGAUAUCAGGAAGAACACCCGUGGCUAAGGCGGCUCUCUAGUACGGUACUGACGCUGAGACGCGAAAGCGUGGGGAGCGAACAGG